rnacentral:lncRNA from 1 species
GAUCUGCAGCCCUCCAGGCCCCUUGUCAACUACCAUUAAGCUAUUUUUUCUUUACCUCAUAGGUAACAGCAGCAAAUGACCCAGUGCACUUUCCUUUUGUGAGUACAAGUCAUACAGUGGUAAGAACUUUGCAACAAACUUUGACAUGGGACAAUCAAAAACAGCAGCCAGCCUGGUCCCCAGAGGGGUUGGAUUCCUGAAGAAUUUAUCAGCAUCUGGAGCAGAGAAUGGAAGCAGAUCUCAGACCAAAUGAGAUGAAAGGAGAAUCAUCUUGUGCUGUGACCCCUCUCUUGGACCCUUCAUUUUCUGCUUUUGAGAGACUGGAUGAGCACCUAAGGUAUAGCUGUUUGCAGAACUCCAGCUCAUACAGCUCAUCCAGCCAGUGCAUGGUAGGCCCCUCCACUUACCCCUGCCUACAGCAUCCUGUGCAUGCCUACAUAUUUCCAAGGAAAGCCAGAGGGAUUCCAUGUAGUGACGCAAUCCAGCUUGAUUAGGAGACAGACCCAAACUAAGACUUGAAUCCAAAA